rnacentral:rRNA from 1 species
UUGCUCUUCAACGAGGAAUGCCUAGUAGGCACAAGUCAUCAGCUUGUGCCGAUUACGUCCCUGCCCUUUGUACACACCGCCCGUCGCUACUACCGAUUGAAUGGCUCAGUGAGGCCUUCGGACUGGCCCAGGGAGGUUGGAAACGACCGCCCAGGGCCGGAAAGUUGGUCAAACUUGGUCAUUUAGAGGAAGUAAAAGUCGUAACAAGGUUUCCGUAGGUGAACCUGCGGAAGGAUCAUUACAGUGCCAGCGGGAGCGUCGCGGCCGUNCCCCCCCAACCCGGGGGGCCGUGUUCGAUCGGCGCCCUGCGACCGGCCCCACACUUGUCUACAGACCGCGUUGCCUCGGCGGGCCCGCCGCUUAGUCGGCCGCCGGGGGGGACUAAAUCUCCCCCCUGGUCAGCGCCCGCCGGAGGACCGAUCGAAAUAUCUUUUUUUAACGAGUUGCAGUCUGAGCGAUAAUCGCAAAUGAAUCAAAACUUUCAACAAUGGAUCUCUUGGUUCCGGCAUCGAUGAAGAACGCAGCGAAAUGCGAUAAGUAAUGUGAAUUGCAGAAUUCCGUGAAUCAUCGAAUCUUUGAACACACAUUGCGCCCUCUGGUAUUCCGGGGGGCAUGCCUGUCCGAGCGUCAUUGCAACCCUCAAGCACGGCUUGUGUUAUGGGCUUCCCGUCCCGCUAUCUCAGUGGACGAGCCCGAAAUGCAGUGAUCGCCGCCGCGAUACCGGCGCCCGAGCGAAUGGGAAUUUACACCAAAGCUCAGUGGGCCCGGCCGGCAGUUUCGGUCCUACAACCAUUUCUUUCUAAGGUUGACCUCGGAUCAGGUAGGGAUACCCGCUGAACUUAAGCAUAUCAAUAAGCGGAGGA